AUUGAACGCUGGCGGCAGGCCUAAUACAUGCAAGUCGAACGGGGUCUUCGGACAUAGUGGCGCACGGGUGCGUAACACGUAUGCAACCUACCUUACAUUGGGGGAUAGCCUUUCGAAAGGGAGAUUAAUACCGCAUAAGACAGUAGCUGGGCAUCCAGCAGCUGUUAAAGAUUUAUCGAUGUAAGCUGGGCAUGCGUCCAAUUAGCUAGUUGGUGAGGUAACGGCUCACCAAGGCAAUGAUUGGUAGGGGAACUGAGAGGUCAAUCCCCCACACUGGCACUGAGAUACGGGCCAGACUCCUACGGGAGGCAGCAGUAGGGAAUAUUGGGCAAUGGACGCAAGUCUGACCCAGCCAUGCCGCGUGCAGGAUGAAGGCGUUAUGCGUUGUAAACUGCUUUUAUACAGGAAGAAACGACUCUUGCGAGAGGCAUUGACGGUACUGUAUGAAUAAGCACCGGCUAACUCCGUGCCAGCAGCCGCAGUAACAC
rnacentral:rRNA from 1 species